UAACGAGCGCAACCCUUGUCCUUAGUUACCAGCACGUUAUGGUGGGCACUCUAAGGAGACUGCCGGUGACAAACCGGAGGAAGGUGGGGGAUGACGUCAAGUCAUCAUGGCCCUUACGGCCUGGGCUACACACGUGCUACAAUGGUCGGUACAAAGGGUUGCCAAGCCGCGAGGUGGAGCUAAUCCCAUAAAACCGAUCGUAGUCCGGAUCGCAGUCUGCAACUCGACUGCGUGAAGUCGGAAUCGCUAGUAAUCGUGAAUCAGAAUGUCACGGUGAAUACGUUCCCGGGCCUU
rnacentral:rRNA from 1 species